GAUGAACGCUAGCGGCAGGCCUAACACAUGCGAGUCGAGGGGUAGAUAUCUUCGGAUAUUGAGACCGGCGCACGGGUGCGUAACGCGUAUGCAAUCUACCUUGUACAGAGGGAUAGCCCAGAGAAAUUUGGAAUAAUACCUCAUAGUAUUAUUGAAUGGCAUCAUUGACUAAUUAAAGUUUUUUGGUACAAGAUGAGCAUGCGUCCCAUUAGCUAGUUGGUAUGGUAACGGCAUACCAAGGCUACGAUGGGUAGGGGUCUUGAGAGGGAGAUCCCCCACACUGGUACUGAGACACGGACCAGACUCCUACGGGAGGCAGCAGUGAGGAAUAUUGGUCAAUGGUCGCAAGACUGAACCAGCCAUGCCGCGUGCAGGAUGAAGCAUCUAUGGUGUGUAAACUGCUUUUGUACGGGAAGAAACACUCCUACGUGUAGGAGCUUGACGGUACCGUAAGAAUAAGGAUCGGCUAACUCCGUGCCAGCAGCCGCGGUAAGAC
rnacentral:rRNA from 1 species